ensembl:lncRNA PCDH10-DT PCDH10 divergent transcript
GAGUGUGAGAGCGAGAACAGCCCCGCAGGUCCCGAGGCGCUGGCUGGGGACAAUGCCGCGGAAAGUUCCCAGUCCCCAGCCGCAGAUCUGCAGAAUUGAAAUGAAAUGUUUUGAGCUCUUCAAGCUGACUCGUCAGAAUCCUGGAGCCUUUUAAAAAAUGACGAAUUGGAAGGAAAAAUUACUUUAUCAAUAACCAGGCUCCACCAGGAUUGACCUAGAUGGUUGUUCCUGGCACUUGUCAUUCUCAGCAAGCACAGCUCAGAGAACAAAUACAAAAGACCCAAAGUGCAUUGCAUCUUUUAUGGAAGUGCCCAAUGUGGAAAUCAUAGAUUUCAAGGAAGGAACAAGAAAAUUGAUGAAACAAGUUCAAAAGAAAGGUACCUGUGCCUCAUCAUUCCUAAAGAACACUGAUCAAUGAUCCCAGAAGUAUGCCAUGUUCUCUUAAUUCAUCAGAGACUGAAAGCAAAGGAAAAUCAAGAAAUCUUGGCCAAUUUGAUGUCAAUGGAAAUGCGUGAGAUUUUUAUUCAGCAUUCACACCUGAGCAAUGCUUUUGGUCAUGAUGUCAUACUAAGAAGAAACCACCUGAGAUGAGACUGUUAGAUGUUCAGAGCAAACAAAAACAAAAACAGACCAACAAAAAAAACCCAAAACAAAACAGAAGUUUCUGAAGGACAGCAGAAAUGGCUUUGCAGGACCACAACAACCACUCCCAGUCAUGAUGGAGAGAAGUGUUCAAUACCCACAGAUCCUGAACGUUGAGCUGAUUAUACUAACUAGAUGGGACUUAGUUUUGUCUACCGUGGGGUGAGCGUAUACUACCUGAGGGAACAGGUUCUCUAUGGUGAAGAUGGCAACUUGCUGACUCAGUCUCAGAAUGCGUUAAAUCCACAUAUUCUGGCAAGUGGAGUUCUGCUUCUCCAAUAUCUCUUCCAGACUAAGUCUCGAAAGGACAGUAAUUGAUCCACCCUGAGUCAUAUGCCCAUGUCCAAAGCAAUGAGUUUGGGAAAUUUCAUGACACACUCCUAAUUUUGUGGUAGGAGACACAUCAGAACCACACAAUGAGUCAGUCCUAUUUAUGAAAUAGAGGUUCAUCUAUCAGAUGAAAGGGAAAAAAGUUGUAAAAACAAAACAGAUGUUCACUAAUGGGGAUCUAUCUGAAUUUCACCUGUAACUACAAAUGCUCACAAGUAGAUUUACAGUUUUCCUAGAGUGUCAUGAAUUUAAAAACAUAUGCAUGGAAUCAUAAAGUAAUAUCCUAAUCACCUCUCACAACCUUUCUCUCCUUAACAUAAAAUGAGAAUAUUUUAGCAGCAGGAGAAGGAUUUUCAUUUAUAGACCUUUAUCAGACACUAAUGUAGGAUUGAGUUUGACCUGAUACAGUGUUCUAUCUCUGAGUGUUGUCACUCAGUUUUAUCAUAAAUAAAAUUUAUUUUAUAUGAUAUCAUAUAGAGAACAAAUUUACUUAUUUUUCUCAUGUAAUCAUGUAAUCAAUUGUUCCAACAUAAUCCAUUGAAUAGAUAUUGUGGCAUUUCCCUAAUUAUUUAUAAAGGCACUGUUACUAGAUAUGAAUAUUUAUAUAUGAGGAUAUGAAUCGUGGCUCUCUGAUUUGUUCAUUAUUUGCUUGUCUAUUCCUGUGCCAGUAUCAUACAAUUGGUACUAAUAUAGUGUUCUGAUAUUGACAGGAUGAAGUGCUCCUUCUAAUGAUGUAGCUUUAAAUUUGUCUUGGUUGUGCAUUUCUUUUUAUUCUUCCAUAGAGAUUUGUGGUUCAGUUGUCAGCUUUGAAAAUCACUUUUGGGAUUUGAAUUUGAAUUGCAUGAAAUUUGUAGACUAACUUGUAGAAAAUAGACAUUUUUAUGAUAUGAAUUUACACAUCCUUGUAACCAUGGGUGUGUUAUUUAUUUUCACUUUUGAAUAUUAUUGUGGGUAUUUAGUAAUAAAAAUAACAAUCGACGAGUUACAUGGUGGUUACUAUGUGACAGAUGUUGUCAAAGUUCCAUCCAUAUAUCAACUUAUUAUAUAUUCUUAUGGGAAGAGACCGUUAUUAUCUCCAUUACACAAGUAAGAAAAUCGAGGUACAAAGAGCUUAAGUAACAUGUGCUAAGUCAUAUAAGAGUAAAGCUUUAUUUGAAUCCAUGCAGUUUGUCUCCAGAGCUUGAAAUCCAUUUUAUUUUAUUUUAUUUUUGCUUUUUAAAAAAAAUUUUUUUGAGACGGAAUCUCGCUUUGUUGCCCAGGCUGGAGUGCAGUGGCACAAUCGCGGCUCAUUGCAACCUCCACCUCCUGGGUUCAAGCAAUUCUCCUGCCUCAGCCUCCCGAGUAGCUGGGACUACAGGUGGGCACCACCACGCCCAGCUAAUUUUUUGUAUUUUUAGUAGAGAAUGGGGUUUCACCAUGUUAGCCAGGAUGGUCUCGAUCUCAUGACCUCAUGUUCCACCUGCCUCGGUCUCCCAAAGUGCUGGGAUUACAGGCGUGAGCCACUGCAUCCAGCCUGAAAUAUUUACCAGUAUCUGAUAUUGCCUCACUAAGAACUUUGCCCAACUCCUUAGUGAUUCUACCAUUGGCUUAGUAUUUUGGAUUUUCUAGUAGACAAUAAUAUCGUGUGCAUAAAGCAAAUACAAUUAUUAUUACAAUAAAAUUUUUAAACUACUCAUUUGUACUUGCUUUCAUAAAGCCUUAGCUAAUUCCAACAAAAUAUUGAUUACUGUGGGAGAGAGUGGUAAAUCUUAUUUUGUACCUAAUAUUAAAUAAAAU